GGCCCCACCAUCCAGGCGCAUCAGGGAGAGAGAGUUUUCGUCAGAGUUACCAACAGUUGAGCGAGAAUGUCGCGAUUCAUUGGCACAACACCCAACAGAUUCAAAGUCUAGGGAGCGAUGGAACAGGUGAUGUCGUUCCAAGGCCCAUUUUGGAAAAACUUUCACCUAUAUUUUCAUCGUCCAUCAGCUUGGAAAAUCUCAGUACGACUCCUAUUACAUGAUGCAAAUGGUGGCUGGACUGCAUGGGUUGAUCGAUGUUUUGCCACUGUACG